AUUGAACGCUGGCGGCAGGCCUAACACAUGCAAGUCGAACGAGUGGCGGACGGGUGGGUAAUGUCUGGGAAACUGCCUGAUGGAGGGGGCUAACUACUGGAAACGGUAGCUACUACCGCAUACCAUCGGAUGUGCCCCGGUGGGAUUAGCUAGUCGGUGGGGUAACGGCUCACCAAGGCGACGAGCCCUAGCUGGUCUGAGAGGAUGACCAGCCACACUGGAACUGAGACACGGCCCAGACUCCUACGGGAGGCAGCAGUGGGGAAUAUUGCACAAUGGGCGCAAGCCUGAUGCAGCCAUGCCGCGUGUAUGAAGAAGGCCUUCGGGUUGUAAAGUACUUUCAGCGGGGAGGCGUUACUCGCAGAAGAAGCACCGGCUAACUCCGUGCCAGCCGCCGCGGUAAUAC
rnacentral:rRNA from 1 species